CCGAAGCCCAGCUGGUCGAUGAAGGGAGGUUCAUCCUGACUGUGGAUCUGCACUUUGAUGCCCGCCUCGAAGGACGUCUCAUCUACAGGAAAGCCCCAAGGCCCCCUGAGACCAGACAGGCAGGCAGCCCAAGAAGAGGGAGUUAUUUAUAGAGUGAGUGGCGGCUGCUGAUGGAAGAGGACUGCUGGUUACCUUGGAGAGUAACUGAGCCCUGAAGAGGGAGUCGGGGAAAUGUACUCGUCCUGCUGGAUGUCCAGCAUGAUCUCCAGCCCAUUGCCUGUCCCACCCUUCAUGGUCUUCAGCCGUGGCCGGCCAUCUCGGCCCGA